rnacentral:lncRNA from 1 species
GCGAAGCCGGGACUUAGAGUUGGGAAGCUUUGGGGCAGCUGCUGUUAUGUAGCAUCGUGGCAGAGGGACUGCUUAUUGAUUUCAAGCAAGGAGAGGUUGCUGGGUUUGAGUGGUGUUCAGAUUGGAGGUAAGGAGUUCGAUUUGGUCGGCUGUGUUGUUGUUUGUGUUGCGGUUAUUUAGUUGGAUUGUGACUGAAAUCAUUGUUGUGGUUGAUACUUGUCGAUAACUUGGUGAUAGGAGUUUAUGGGGAGGCUAUGGCGAAAUUUCGGCAAGUCACCGGGAUCCGACGAGUAUUUCUGGCAAGUUGCCGGAAUCCCUAUCGCGAGGCAGCAAUUCCGGCAGAAUCCGUGAAGUUAAACAUUUGUGGUCUCAAGACAAGUCAAACGACAAGUAAUUGUCGUUGAACUCUAGAUGAUAUAGCGCCUAGUAGUUUGACAAUAUGAGACGACAUAUAGUUGUCAUUAGAAGUCUCAUAGUACAACAUAUCUUUGUUUUAUUUGUCGUUGAACGUUAUAUCAGUCGACACUUAUCUAUAGUAUGGAUAAAUAUAAGAGGACGUAAACAUCAUUAAUUUCUUCC